UCGGGAAUUUUGGGCAAUGGGCGCAAGCCUGAUCCAGCCAUGCCGCGUGAGUGACGAAGGUCUUCGGAUUGUAAAGCUCUUUUGGCGGGGACGAUAAUGACGGUACCCGCAGAAUAAGCCCCGGCUAACUUCGUGCCAGCAGCCGCGGUAAUACGAAGGGGGCUAGCGUUGUUCGGAAUUACUGGGCGUAAAGCGCACGUAGGCGGAUUGAUAAGUUAGAGGUGAAAUCCCGGGGCUCAACCUCGGAACUGCCUUUGAUACUGUUAGUCUCGAGUCCGAUAGAGGUGAGUGGAAUUCCUAGUGUAGAGGUGAAAUUCGUAGAUAUUAGGAAGAACACCAGUGGCGAAGGCGGCUCACUGGAUCGGUACUGACGCUGAGGUGCGAAAGCGUGGGGAGCAAACAGGAUUAGAUACCCUUGUAGUCCCUGAGCGGGCUGGCAAGGCGCAU
rnacentral:rRNA from 1 species